rnacentral:rRNA from 1 species
UUAGGCGAACGGGUGAGUAACGCGUGAAUAACCUGACUCAAAGAGGGGGAGUAACAACGGGAAACUGUUGCUAAUACCGCAUGAGACCACAACACCGCAUGAUGAAGGGGUCAAAGAUUUAUCGCUUUGAGAGGGGUUCGCGUCCCAUUAGGUAGUUGGAGGGGUAACGGCCCACCAAGCCAACGAUGGGUAGCCGAGCUGAGAGGCUGAUCGGCCACACUGGAACUGAGACACGGUCCAG